AGAGAUAAAGGAAUUCAAAUUCUGAAAUUUUAAAAUGUGGAGAAAAUUUGUUAUGAAGAUAUCUGGUAAAUUUUAGCUAAUCAAGUGAACAAAUGAGCUAGUAAUAUCAAAAGUUAAAAGCCUGCGUGAAUCGAGUUUUUAAGUGAAGUAGUAAUUAGCUUGGAGGACUGCUAUUAAAAAUGGAAACUGAAAAAUGGCUGGAAGAGACUUGGGUGAAAUAUUCUCAUUUUGAGGAAUUCUUCUUUAAUGAGGAAGACACUGAUUUUUCUGAUUUUCUUGACGAAUGGCAAAUUAGGCUAACAAGCGCCCUGGAUGCAGGGAUAAGUUAUUCCGAAUCUGUCCUAGCGUUCAAAUUACUUAAGAACAGUAAUCUGGACGCGGAUGCGCAGGAGUUUAUAUUCUCUGCUCUGCGCAUGCAUUGUCUGGAUCGUAAGAGUUUACUACUUCAGACUAUGCUGAUCCUUUCGCAGAUGUUUCAGGAAACUGAUGAGUCAGAGAUAACUAAAUAUUUAAACAAGACUGAAAAUAGUUCUCUUCAAACUACAUUUUCUAUUGAUGAUACACAUAUUGAUGAUUCACAUAUUAAUGCUACGAAUAUUGAUGCUAAGAAUAUUGAAAACACAAACCAGAAGGUUCAAGAUCAAAACCAAAUUAAGAGUAAUAAAAAGAAAAAGAAAAAGAAGAAAUUGAUAAAAGUGCAGGAGGGUGAACCUGGGAAGAAGAUAGAGAAGGAUAAAAGAAAAAAUUCAAAAAAAAAAAUUGUUCCACGGGAAGUGGUUAGGGAAGAUGGAACCUCCGAUAUUUUCCAGUGUCCGGAGUGUCCCCUGUUUGUUUAUUUUAAUGCUGGCAUCACUUGCCAGUUCAUAAACUUCCUUCAAGACCCUUCCAGUGUUCUAGUUGCAGUGCUUCAUAUAGUCUGCAAGGAGGACUAUAUAGCCAUAAAUGCGUACAUGAUGAGCCUAUUACCUGUACUUUGUGUGAUAUGAAGUUCUUUGGGAGACAUAAGAUCAAGAGACAUAUGAGACAAAGCCACAAAGUUAAAGGAGAUUAAAUAGGUAACAUCUGGCACUCUUGAGAAACUUUCUUAUUUUUGCGGCUCAGACAGAUUUUUCUUAUUUUAGUAUUUGUUGAAGACUGAAACAAAACUGUAUGGAUAUCUCUGUAUAAAACUUAUGUACGGCCCCACCUUGAAUACUGUAUACAAGCCUGGAAUCCCUGGCUGAUUAAAGAUAAAGAAAUCCUGGAAAAAGUACAGAAAAGAGCUAUUUCCAUGACUUCUGGACUCUCAGGAUCUACCUAUGAAGAGAAAUUGAGAGAGGUUGGACUCACUAGUCUGGAGGAAAGAAAGAAGAAGGGAGAUAUGAUUCAAGUCUGGAAAAUCCUUCAUGAACAUGAUCAUGUGGAUAAAAACAACUGGUUUAGCUCAGCCUAUGUACCUGGUGAAAAUGAAAAACAAACCAGAAUGUCCCGUGAUCCUUUAAAUCUGAAGUUACCUGUUGUGCACACCGAAAUACAAAGAAACUUUUUUAGUGCAAGAGUUAUCAAUAUAUGGAAUGAUAUUCCAUAUGAAAUCAAAAGUGCUGGAAACCUGAACAUUUUCAAAAA
rnacentral:misc_RNA from 1 species